rnacentral:miRNA from 1 species
CACACACACACAGCAGUGUGUGUAUGUGUGUAUAUAUGUAUAUAUAUAUAUAUAUAUAUAUAUAUAUAUAUAUAUACACAUAUAUAUACAUACAUACAUACAUAUAUGCGGCGUGUGCUUG